CCUCCCGUCUUAUUGUCUUAUCUCAGCAGCAAACUAAAAAUGCCACAGCUACACGGGGGCGACGUUGGCCAAGUGGAGCAUCACGAUUUGCAUUGGCGUUCUCGUGGGUAUGUGUGUGGACGAAUCGAAUGCCAUACCUCAACUUGCCAUGUUUUCAGGCUUGAUCGCGUACGUGAUCGAAUCGUCUCAGGAGUUCCUAGUCACGGAGAAGGUUAACACUCGCGACUGCACUCGUAGCUCUCACCUGUUGUCGUUUCUUUUCCAUGGCCGCCAGAAAUCAUUUGCUCAGAAAACAGUGGAGGGGAGCCUCAUUCUGUCCUUCCUUGGAUUUGCGGGUUUCAGCGUUCUCCUGAUCCUCAUCUCCAG
rnacentral:lncRNA from 1 species